GACGGAUCGCAUUAUGGCCUUUUGGUCGGCGAUGGAUCAUUCAAGUUUCUGACCUAUCAGCUUUCGACGGUACUGUAUUGGACUACCGUGGCAGUGACGGGUAACGGGGAAUUAGGGUUCGAUUCCGGAGAGGGAGCCUGAGAAACGGCUACCACAUCUAAGGAAGGCAGCAGGCGCGCAAAUUACCCAAUCCUGACUCAGGGAGGUAGUGACAAGAAAUAACAACACUGGAAAUUAUAUUUCUAGUGAUUGGAAUGAUGGGAAUCCAAACCCCUUUCAGAGUAACAAUUGGAGGGCAAGUCUGGUGCCAGCAGCCGCGGUAAUUCCAGCUCCAAUAGCGUAUAUUAAAGUUGUUGCAGUUAAAAAGCUCGUAGUUGGAUAUCUGCUGGAAGCAGCCAGUCCGCCCUUUGUGGGUGUGCACUUGGUGAAUUCUGGCAUCCUCCUGAUUGGUGUUAUCAUCACUUCAUUGUGUUGAUGGCAGCUGUCAGGACCGUUACUUUGAGAAAAUUAGAGUGUUUCAAGCAGGCUUGUUGCCUUGAAUACUGCAGCAUGGAAUAACAAGAUAGGAUUUCGGUUCUAUUUUGUUGGUUUCUAGGACUGAAGUAAUGAUUAAUAGGGACAGUUGGGGGCAUUCGUAUUUAACUGUCAGAGGUGAAAUUCUUAGAUUUGUUAAAGACGAACUACUGCGAAAGCAUUUGCCAAAGAUGUUUUCAUUAAUCAAGAACGAAAGUUAGGGGCUCGAAGACGAUCAGAUACCGUCGUAGUCUUAACCAUAAACUAUGCCGACUAGAGAUAGGAAAACGUCAUCCUUGACUCU
rnacentral:rRNA from 1 species